AAUACAAAUUAUUAGUAAUUUAUUGUUUUUAAUUAAACAAAGAAUAUUCUUAAUUAAACAUUAGUGUAAAUAUUAUUUAUUUAUUACAUGUUGAUAAGUAAUAACAUAUUAAAUAGAGUUUACAUUGAACAAAGCACGUAUUAGGUAUGAAAAAAUACCAGCUAAAUGAAUAAUGACAUUGACACAUACAAUAUCAUCUGUCUAUAAAUUACCAAUGGACAAUUUGUUAUAAAAAGAAUAAUGUUUUUUGGAAAAAAAAAUAAUAUACAGAUAAAAUUGCAGUUUUUUUACAGUAUUAAAGAUUUCAAAAUUUAAGAGAUUCUUUUGAUUUUUUACCAGAGCAUAGAUUCUUAUGNCAUACAAUAUCAUCUGUCUAUAAAUUACCAUAAUAUAUUAUGAUUGACAAUUUGUUAUAAAAAGAAUCAUGUUUUUUCGAAAAAAAAAAAAUAUACAGAUAAAAUUGCAGUUUUUUACAGUAUAAAAAGUAUCACUAUUUAAGAGAUUCUUUUGAUUCUUUACCAGAGCAUAGAUUAUUAUGGAUAUAUAUUCUUACUCCCAUCUACAGAGGAAAAUGCGAAAAUAUUAUUAAAUAGCGAAAUACUUUCGGCUUUGACAAUACAUACUCACGAUUUAUUCUCAUCCCAGGCGAACACAAAAUUAUGGAUUACAACUAAAUAUAUAAGGUAUACAAAACAAAAAUAAUUCUUAAAUCAGUUCGUAUAGUGAAUAUUAUGCACAUGUGACUGCAGUUUGGAGAAACUAUUUUAAAACAAUUUUAGUGGCCAAUUUCAAUAAAGAACCUGCACACUACCCAAUAAUCAAAUUUGAAAUACUUAAAAUGAUACUAAUAAGAUAGUACAAAAUUACUUUUUUUGAAACACUCAAUAAAUAGAAACAAAUAAGCCUCUCCAAAUCAAGUAAAUACUAAAUAGAUAUAUAAUAUAAUCAAUAUUAUGGGGACGUUAGCUCCCCUAAAAUAUUUAGGCUGUUUGCAGCAAUGACGAGAUCAGCUGCAGCAAUGGUAUUGUGACGGCCAUUCAAUCAGUAAGUAGGUACUUGACAAAUUCAGCUGCAUGAUUGCCCUGUAAAUUAGAAUCAUAUUAAUAUUAUGUACG